UACGGGGGGGGCAAGCGUUGUUCGGAAUUACUGGGCGUAAAGGGCGCGUAGGCGGCCUGCUAAGUCGGAUGUGAAAUCCCCAGGCUUAACCUGGGAAUUGCAUCCGAUACUGGAUGGCUUGAAUCCGGGAGAGGGAUGCGGAAUUCCAGGUGUAGCGGUGAAAUGCGUAGAUAUCUGGAGGAACACCGGUGGCGAAGGCGGCAUCCUGGACCGGCAUUGACGCUGAGGAGCGAAAGCCAGGGGAGCAAACGGG
rnacentral:rRNA from 1 species